AUGUUGUAUGAAAGGAGAGGAUGAAAUCCCCUAGUGAAAGAUGAAAAAGGUCCUAGUGCCCUUUACAAUACAUAUAGGGUUCAUACAGUUAAGGAAUUGUUCCUUACUCUGUCUAUGACUCUUU
rnacentral:ncRNA from 1 species